rnacentral:lncRNA from 10 species
AAGAAUAUAAUCUAAAUUUAUUUCUGCAAGAAAAAAAACACAUAAACCUGACUAAACUCGGAGAUUUUGUAAAAUGAGCUAAGUUUAUAUUUCCUGAAUAACAUUCAAUUCUCUCCCUAAGAAUACUUUCUACAUUUAAUGUUCUUUCUGUGCUUAUCAGCAUCUCUUUCAAAUGUUUGGUGUAAUGAUAUCCAUUAUCAAGUGUGGAUAUAAUUAUGCCAAAGAUCUGGUCUAGUUGGCUGUGUGGAACCUGUUUUGCAGGUUCCUAAACAUUCCUACCUGUAUUUGGUAGGGAGAAGUGUAUUAAAAUGUAUUACUAUUAAGAUAUAAUAUGGAAAAAUAAAGGAAUUAUGCCAGAGAAAAUACAAAAGUUAUCACUUAAGAGAGGUUUUACUGAUAAUUCGUUGACUUAGAAAUAUCAUGGUAAGAAGUUGAAAUCAAAUGAAAUGUUAGCAUAUUUACUAACUCAUUAAUUGCAAUACAGUAGAACUGAGCAGAAUAUUUAUGUGUCUUCUAAUUUUCUUCAGCACUUUUUUUUUUUUUUGAGACGGAGUUUCACUCUGUCGCCCAGGCUGGAGUGCAGUGGCGCCGUCUCAGCUCACUGCAAGCUCCGCCUCCUGGGUUCACACAUUUAUAAUACUUUUCAUCUCUUUUUGUGCAUUGCAGCAGUUUUGAAAAUACCCUUUCCUUAAUAAAAACUCUCCUAAGGAGAAGGUUCACUUAAAACAAUUUGGUUCUGGAAGGAGUCCCUUCUGUGUACAGAGGCUGAGGGAAUGGGACACUGACUUGGCCCAGAUCAUCUAAAGCAGUUCUUCUGGGGACUGCUAGUCCAGGGCACUUUUGCUGUAUUUUUUGACACAACUGUGCUUACCUCACUGCCCUUAUUUAUGUUUGGGGCUAUAUUUGGUGCACUCUUGUUUCUAUUAGUCUGAACCCAUAUGGCUCCUACUACAAUGUUAGACAUGUGUAGAUACUAAAUGAAGGAAUGAAUUACUUAAUGUAAAAUAUUUCAGGUAGAGAAGACUAUUUAUAAAGUAGGGAGUGUGUUGCCCCAAACAUCUGCAAAUGUAAACCUGGUUACAUUGGUUCUAACUGCCAAACUGGUAGGUAACAUCAUUCAUUAGUUUGCAUGAUAAAUUGUAUUUGGUAAUUGAUAUGUCUAAAACUUGGGCUUUAUUUUAUACAGCUCUUUGUGACCCUGAUUGCAAAAACCAUGGAAAAUGUAUUAAGCCUAACAUUUGUCAGUGUCUUCCAGGACAUGGUGGAGCAACCUGUGAUGAAGGUGAUAAUUCAAAUUAAAAAUCAAAUAUAAGGCCUAAAAUAUAGCAUAAUUUUCUUUAAAAACCAUUUUACAAGACAAUUCAGUUUUACUGUGUAUAUAUUAAAAU